AGCGAACGCUGGCGGCAGGCCUAAUACAUGCAAGUCGAACGGAUCCUUCGGGAUUAGUGGCGGACGGGUGAGUAACACGUGGGAACGUGCCCUUUGGUUCGGAACAACUCAGGGAAACUUGAGCUAAUACCGGAUAAGCCCUUCGGGGAAGAUUAUCGCCAUUGGAGCGGCCCGCGUCUGAUUAGCUAGUUGGUGGGGUAAAGGCCUACCAAGGCGACGAUCAGUAGCUGGUCUGAGAGGANGAUCAGCCACACUGGGACUGAGACACGGCCCAGACUCCUACGGGAGGCAGCAGUAGGGAAUCUUGCGCAAUGGGCGAAAGCCUNACGCAGCCAUGCCGCGUGAAUGAUGAAGGUCUUAGGAUUAGUAAAAUUCUUUCAGCGGGACGAUAAUGACGGUACCCGCAGAAGAAGCCCCGGCUAACUUCGUGCCAGCCGCCGACCGU
rnacentral:rRNA from 1 species